GUGAUGAGGUAUACCGCGCCGUUGAGACGUGAUGGCAGAAUCCACAGCUGA
rnacentral:snoRNA from 1 species